AUGGCUCAGGAUGAACGCUAGCGGCAGGCUAACACAUGCAAGUCGAGGGGCAGCGGGAUGUAGCAAUACAUUGCCGGCGACCGGCGGAUGGGUGCGUAACGCGUAUGCAACCUACCUUAUACAGGGGAAUAACCUUUCGAAAGGGAGACUAACACCCCAUAGUAUUGAUUUAAGGCAUCUUAGAUUAAUUAAAUAUUUAUAGGUAUAAGAUGGGCAUGCGUAUGAUUAGCUAGUUGGUAAGGUAACGGCUUACCAAGGCGACGAUCAUUAGGGGUUCUGAGAGGAAGGUCCCCCACACUGGUACUGAGACACGGACCAGACUCCUACGGGAGGCAGCAGUGAGGAAUAUUGGUCAAUGGGCGCAAGCCUGAACCAGCCAUGCCGCGUGCAGGAAAGACGGCCUUAUGGGUUGUAAACUGCUUUUACAUAAGACUAACCGUAUAUUUGCGAAUAUACCUGAAUGUAUUAUGAGAAUAAGGAUCGGCUAACUCCGUGCCAGCAGCCGC
rnacentral:rRNA from 1 species